CCUACGGGAGGCAGCAGUGAGGAAUAUUGGUCAAUGGACGAGAGUCUGAACCAGCCAAGUAGCGUGAAGGAUGACUGCCCUAUGGGUUGUAAACUUCUUUUAUAUGGGAAUAAAACGUUCCACGUGUGGGAUUUUGUAUGUACCAUAUGAAUAAGGAUCGACUAACUCCGUGCCAGCAGCCGCGAUAAUACGGAGGAUCCGAGCGUUAUCCGGAUUUAUUGGGUUUAAAGGGAGCGUAGGUGGAUUGUUAAGUCAGUUGUGAAAGUUUGCGGCUCAACCGUAAAAUUGCAGUUGAAACUGGCAGUCUUGAGUACAGUAGAGGUGGGCGGAAUUCGUGGUGUAGCGGUGAAAUGCUUAGAUAUCACGAAGAACUCCGAUUGUGAAGGCAGUUCACUGGACUGCAACUGACACUGAGGCUCGAAAGUGUGGGUAUCAAACAGGAUUAGAUACCCUGGUAGUC
rnacentral:rRNA from 1 species